AGGAAUAUUGGUCAAUGGGCGAGAGCCUGAACCAGCCAAGUAGCGUGAAGGAUGACUGCCCUAUGGGUUGUAAACUUCUUUUAUAAAGGAAUAAAGUCGGGUAUGUAUACCCGUUUGCAUGUACUUUAUGAAUAAGGAUCGGCUAACUCCGUGCCAGCAGCCGCGGUAAUACGGAGGAUCCGAGCGUUAUCCGGAUUUAUUGGGUUUAAAGGGAGCGUAGAUGGAUGUUUAAGUCAGUUGUGAAAGUUUGCGGCUCAACCGUAAAAUUGCAGUUGAUACUGGCGACCUUGAGUGCAACAGAGGUAGGCGGAAUUCGUGGUGUAGCGGUGAAAUGCUUAGAUAUCACGAAGAACUCCGAUUGCGAAGGCAGCCUGCUAAGCUGCAACUGACAUUGAGGCUCGAAAGUGUGGGUAUCAAACAGGAUUAGAUACCCUGGUAGUCCACACGGUAAACGAUGAAUACUCGCUGUUUGCGAUAUACUGCAAGCGGCCAAGCGAAAGCGUUAAGUAUUCCACCUGGGGAGUACGCCGGCAACGGUGAAACUCAAAGGAAUUGACGGGGGCCCGCACAAGCGGAGGAACAUGUGGUUUAAUUCGAUGAUACGCGAGGAACCUUACCCGGGCUUAAAUUGCAGAUGAAUUACGGUGAAAGCCGUAAGCCGCAAGGCAUCUGUGAAGGUGCUGCAUGGUUGUCGUCAGCUCGUGCCGUGAGGUGUCGGCUUAAGUGCCAUAACGAGCGCAACCCUUGUUGUCAGUUACUAACAGGUUCCGCUGAGGACUCUGACAAGACUGCCAUCGUAAGAUGUGAGGAAGGUGGGGAUGACGUCAAAUCAGCACGGCCCUUACGUCCGGGGCUACACACGUGUUACAAUGGGGGGUACAGAGGGCCGCUACCACGCGAGUGGAUGCCAAUCCCCAAAACCUCUCUCAGUUCGGACUGGAGUCUGCAACCCGACUCCACGAAGCUGGAUUCGCUAGUAAUCGCGCAUCAGCCACGGCGCGGUGAAUACGUUCCCG
rnacentral:rRNA from 1 species